GACGAACGCUGGCGGCGUGCUUAACACAUGCAAGUCGAACGGUGAAGCUCCAGCUUGCUGGAGUGGAUCAGUGGCGAACGGGUGAGUAACACGUGAGCAACCUGCCCCUGACUCUGGAAUAAGCGCUGGAAACGGCGUCUAAUACUGGAUACGAGAAGGGUCCGCAUGGGCACUUUCUGGAAAGUUUUUCGGUUGGGGAUGGGCUCGCGGCCUAUCAGCUUGUUGGUGAGGUAAUGGCUCACCAAGGCGACGACGGGUAGCCGGCCUGAGAGGGCGACCGGCCACACUGGGACUGAGACACGGCCCAGACUCCUACGGGGGGCAGCAGGGGGGAAUAUUGCACAAUGGGCGAAAGCCUGAUGCAGCGACGCCGCGGGAGGGAUGACGGCCUUCGGGUUGUAAACCUCUUUCAGCAGGGAAGAAGCGAAAGUGACGGUACCUGCAGAAGAAGCACCGGCUAACUACGUG
rnacentral:rRNA from 1 species